rnacentral:rRNA from 1 species
UACGGAGGUCCCGAGCGUUGUUCGGAUUCAUUGGGCGUAAAGGGUGCGUAGGUGGCGUGGUAAGUGGGGUGUGAAAUCUCGGGGCUUAACUCCGAAACUGCAUUCGAUACUGCGGUGCUUGAGGACUGGAGAGGAGACUGGAAUUCAUGGUGUAGCAGUGAAAUGCGUAGAGAUCAUGAGGAAGACCAGUGGCGAAGGCGGGUCUCUGGACAGUUCCUGACACUGAGACACGAAGGCCAGGGGAGCAAACGGG